rnacentral:misc_RNA from 1 species
UCUCCGUUGGUGAACCAGCGGAGGGAUCAUUAUAGAGUUUUCUAAACUCCCAACCCUUUGUGAACUUAUACCACUUUGUUGCCUCGGCGCGAGCCGGGGGCUUCUAUAAGCCCCCCCUUACCUCGGUGAGGAGCAGGCCCGCCGGCGGCCCUAUAAACUCUUGUUUUAACGUAUCUCUUCUGAGUACAAAUUAUAAAUGAAUCAAAACUUUCAACAACGGAUCUCUUGGUUCUGGCAUCGAUGAAGAACGCAGC